GACGAACGCUGGCGGCGUGCCUAAUACAUGCAAGUAGAACGCUGAAGGAGGAGCUUGCUCUUCUGGAUGAGUUGCGAACGGGUGAGUAACGCGUAGGUAACCUGCCUGGUAGCGGGGGAUAACUAUUGGAAACGAUAGCUAAUACCGCAUAACAGUAGAUGUUGCAUGACAUUUGCUUAAAAGGUGCAAUUGCACCACUACCAAAUGGACCUGCGUUGUAUUAGCUAGUUGGUGGGGUAACGGCUCACCAAGGCGACGAUACAUAGCCGACCUGAGAGGGUGAUCGGCCACACUGGGACUGAGACACGGCCCAGACUCCUACGGGAGGCAGCAGUAGGGAAUCUUCGGCAAUGGACGGAAGUCUGACCGAGCAACGCCGCGUGAGUGAAGAAGGUUUUCGGAUCGUAAAGCUCUGUUGUAAGAGAAGAACGAGUGUGAGAGUGGAAAGUUCACACUGUGACGGUAUCUUACCAGAAAGGGACGGCUAACUACGUG
rnacentral:rRNA from 1 species